AUUGAACGCUGGCGGCAGGCCUAACACAUGCAAGUCGAACGAGUGGCGGACGGGUGAGUAAUGUCUGGGAAACUGCCUGAUGGAGGGGGAUAACCACUGGAAACGGUAGCUAAUACCGCAUACCAUCGGAUGUGCCCAGAUGGGAUUAGCUAGUAGGUGGGGUAAAGGCUCCCCUGGGCGACGAUCCCUAGCUGGUCUGAGAGGAUGACCAGCCACACGGGAACGGAGACACGGUCCAGAUUCCGACGGGAGGCAGAAGUGGGGAAUAUUGCACAAUGAGGGCAAGCCUGAUGCAGCCAUGCCGCGUGUAUGAAGAAGGCCUUCGGGUUGUAAAGUACUUUCAGCGGGGAGGCGUUACCCGCAGAAGAAGCAACGGCUAACUCCGUGCCAGCAGCCGCGGUAAUUC
rnacentral:rRNA from 1 species